UUGAAUGAUGAUAACCAUUAUAACAACAACUUGAAUUUCUUCAACCGAAAUCGAAAUGUGGAGAUAAAUUUUGACAUAGCUUUUUAACCCUGAUC
rnacentral:snoRNA from 1 species